rnacentral:rRNA from 1 species
AGUGAACGCUGGCGGUAUGCCUAACACAUGCAAGUCGAACGGCAGCACAGUAAGAGUUCGCUCUUACGGGUGGCGAGUGGCGGACGGGUGAGGCAUACAUAGGAAUCUACUUUUUCGUGGGGGAUAACGUAGGGAAACUUACGCUAAUACCGCAUACGAUCUACGGGUGGAAGCAGGGGUUCUUGGGACUUUUGCCGAUUGAUUUAGACGAUGUCGGAUUAGCUAGUUGGCUUGGUAAAGGCCCACCAAGGCGACGAUCCGUAGCUGGUCUGAGAGGAUGAUCAGCCACACUGGAACUGAGACACGGUCCAGACUCCUACGGGAGGCAGCAGUAGGGAAUCUUGCACAAUGGGCGAAAGCCUGAUCCAGCAAUACCGCGUGAGUGAAGAAGGCCUUCGGGUUGUAAAGCCCUUUUAUUAGGAAAGAAAAGAAGCAUAUUAAUACACCGCUGUUCUGACGGUACCCAAAGAAUAAGCACCGGCUAACUUCGUG